CUUGAUCGAGCCCAGCCACAGCGGCUCGUCGGUGGGCCGGUCCUGACCGUAGGUGGCCAGCAGUGCCUGCGCCUC
rnacentral:antisense_RNA from 2 species